UACAGAGGGGGCAAGCGUUAUUCGGAAUUAUUGGGCGUAAAGGGCGCGUAGGCGGCUUGGCAAGUGGAUGGUGAAAUCCCUCGGCUUAACCGAGGAACUGCCAUCCAGACUGCUUUGCUUGAGGCCGGGAGAGGUGAGUGGAAUUCCCAGUGUAGCGGUGAAAUGCGUAGAUAUUGGGAGGAACACCAGUGGCGAAGGCGGCUCACUGGACCGGUUCUGACGCUGAGACGCGAAAGCGUGGGGAGCGAACAGG
rnacentral:rRNA from 1 species